rnacentral:tRNA from 5 species
ACGUCUCGUACGCGGUGCGGAACAGCGCCUCGACCUGCUCGGGGUCGGUGACGUCGGUGUUCACGAAGAUCCCGCCGGUCUCCUCGGCGGCGGCCUU